rnacentral:rRNA from 1 species
UCCGUAGCAAUACGGAUGGCGCACGGCGCACGGGUGCGUAACACGUGGGCAAUCUGCCCUCGGAUGGGGGAUAACCCCGCGAAAGCGGGGCUAAUACCGCAUGACAUUCCGAAGACUCCGGUCUUUGGACUCAAAGGCCGCAAGGCCGUCUGAGGAGGAGCCCGCGCCCGAUUAGCUAGUUGGUGAGGUAACGGCUCACCAAGGCUUUGAUCGGUAGCCGGUCUGAGAGGAUGGCCGGCCACACUGGAACUGAGACACGGUCCAGACUCCUACGGGAGGCAGCAGUGGGGAAUAUUGCGCAAUGGGCGAAAGCCUGACGCAGCGACGCCGCGUGGGGGAUGAAGCUUCUCGGAGUGUAAACCCCUUUCGACCCGGACGAAUGACCCGCAAGGGUUUGACGGUACGGGUAUAAGAAGCCCCGGCUAACUACGUGCCAGCAGCCGCGGUAAUACGUAGGGGGCCAGCGUUGCUCGGAAUUACUGGGCGUAAAGGGUUCGUAGGUGGUGCGGCAAGUUGGAAGUGAAAUCUCUGGGCUUAACCCAGAGGCUGCUUUCAAAACUGCCGUGCUCGAGUGCGAGAGAGGCCAGUGGAAUUGCAGGUGUAGCGGUGAAAUGCGUAGAUAUCUGCAGGAACACCCGUGGCGAAGGCGGCUGGCUGGAUCGCAACUGACACUGAGGAACGAAAGCUAGGGGAGCAAACAGGAUUAGAUACCCUGGUAGUCCUAGCCCUAAACCAUCAGAACUUGGGGUGGCCCGCGUAGGCGGGUCGUCCCGUAGCUAACGCGUUAAGUUCUGCGCCUGGGGAGUACGGUCGCAAGACUGAAACUC